rnacentral:tRNA from 1 species
GAAUAUGAAGCGAUUAAUUGCAUCUAGUUUCGACCUAGCCUUAGACAAAACCUGUCCUUAUUCU